rnacentral:rRNA from 1 species
AGUGUACCUGCAAAGGUUCACUGCGAAGUUUUGCUCUUUAAAAAUCUGGAUCAAGCUGAAAAUUGAAACACUGAACAACGCAAGUUGUUCGUGAGUCUCUCAAAUUUUCGCAACACGAUGAUGAAUCGAAAGAANCACACUAUCAUUAACUGAAUCCAUAGGUUAAUGAGGCGAACCGGGGGAACUGAAACAUCUAAGUACCCCGAGGAAAAGAAAUCAACCGAGAUUCCCCCAGUAGCGGCGAGCGAACGGGGAGCAGCCCAGAGCCUGAAUCAGUGUGUGUGUUAGUGGAAGCGUCUGGAAAGGCGCGCGAUACAGGGUGACAGCCCCGUACACAAAAAUGCACAUACUGUGAGCUCGAUGAGUAGGGCGGGACACGUGGUAUCCUGUCUGAAUAUGGGGGGACCAUCCUCCAAGGCUAAAUACUCCUGACUGACCGAUAGUGAACCAGUACCGUGAGGGAAAGGCGAAAAGAACCCCGGCGAGGGGAGUGAAAAAGAACCUGAAACCGUGUACGUACAAGCAGUGGGAGCNGAAAGGCCAAUCAAACCGGGAGAUAGCUGGUUCUCCCCGAAAGCUAUUUAGGUAGCGCCUCGUGAAUUCAUCUCCGGGGGUAGAGCACUGUUUCGGCAAGGGGGUCAUCCCGACUUACCAACCCGAUGCAAACUGCGAAUACCGGAGAAUGUUAUCACGGGAGACACACGGCGGGGGCUAACGUCCGUCGUGAAGAGGGAAACAACCCAGACCGCCAGCUAAGGUCCCAAAGUCAUGGUUAAGUGGGAAACGAUGUGGGAAGGCCCAGACAGCCAGGAUGUUGGCUUAGAAGCAGCCAUCAUUUAAAGAAAGCGUAAUAGCUCACUGGUCGAGUCGGCCUGCGCGGAAGAUGUAACGGGGCUAAACCAUGCACCGAAGCUGCGGCAGCGACACUGUGUGUUGUUGGGUAGGGGAGCGUUCUGUAAGCCUGUGAAGGUGUNAUGCUGGAGGUAUCAGAAGUGCGAAUGCUGACAUAAGUAACGAUAAAGCGGGUGAAAAGCCCGCUCGCCGGAAGACCAAGGGUUCCUGUCCAACGUUAAUCGGGGCAGGGUGAGUCGACCCCUAAGGCGAGGCCGAAAGGCGUAGUCGAUGGGAAACAGGUUAAUAUUCCUGUACUUGGUGUUACUGCGAAGGGGGGACGGAGAAGGCUAUGUUGGCCGGGCGACGGUUGUCCCGGUUUAAGCGUGUAGGCUGGUUUUCCAGGCAAAUCCGGAAAAUCAAGGCUGAGGCGUGAUGACGAGGCACUACGGUGCUGAAGCAACAAAUGCCCUGCUUCCAGGAAAAGCCUCUAAGCAUCAGGUAACAUCAAAUCGUACCCCAAACCGACACAGGUGGUCAGGUAGAGAAUACCAAGGCGUUUGAGAGAACUCGGGUGAAGGAACUAGGCAAAAUGGUGCCGUAACUUCGGGAGAAGGCACGCUGAUAUGUAGGUGAAGUCCCUCGCGGAUGGAGCUGAAAUCAGUCGAAGAUACCAGCUGGCUGCAACUGUUUAUUAAAAACACAGCACUGUGCAAACACGAAAGUGGACGUAUACGGUGUGACGCCUGCCCGGUGCCGGAAGGUUAAUUGAUGGGGUCAGCGCAAGCGAAGCUCUUGAUCGAAGCCCCGGUAAACGGCGGCCGUAACUAUAACGGUCCUAAGGUAGCGAAAUUCCUUGUCGGGUAAGUUCCGACCUGCACGAAUGGCGUAAUGAUGGCCAGGCUGUCUCCACCCGAGACUCAGUGAAAUUGAACUCGCUGUGAAGAUGCAGUGUACCCGCGGCAAGACGGAAAGACCCCGUGAACCUUUACUAUAGCUUGACACUGAACAUUGAGCCUUGAUGUGUAGGAUAGGUGGGAGGCUUUGAAGUGUGGACGCCAGUCUGCAUGGAGCCGACCUUGAAAUACCGCCCUUUAAUGUUUGAUGUUCUAACGUGGACCCGUGAUCCGGGUUGCGGACAGUGUCUGGUGGGUAGUUUGACUGGGGCGGUCUCCUCCUAAAGAGUAACGGAGGAGCACGAAGGUUGGCUAAUCCUGGUCGGACAUCAGGAGGUUAGUGCAAUGGCAUAAGCCAGCUUGACUGCGAGCGUGACGGCGCGAGCAGGUGCGAAAGCAGGUCAUAGUGAUCCGGUGGUUCUGAAUGGAAGGGCCAUCGCUCAACGGAUAAAAGGUACUCCGGGGAUAACAGGCUGAUACCGCCCAAGAGUUCAUAUCGACGGCGGUGUUUGGCACCUCGAUGUCGGCUCAUCACAUCCUGGGGCUGAAGUAGGUCCCAAGGGUAUGGCUGUUCGCCAUUUAAAGUGGUACGCGAGCUGGGUUUAGAACGUCGUGAGACAGUUCGGUCCCUAUCUGCCGUGGGCGCUGGAGAACUGAGGGGGGCUGCUCCUAGUACGAGAGGACCGGAGUGGACGCAUCACUGGUGUUUGGGUUGUCAUGCCAAUGGCACUGCCCGGUAGCUAAAUGCGGAAGAGAUAAGUGCUGAAAGCAUCUAAGCACGAAACUUGCCCCGAGAUGAGUUCUCCCUGACCCUUUAAGGGUCCUGAAGGAACGUUGAAGACGACGACGUUGAUAGGCCGGGUGUGUAAGCGCAGCGAUGCGUUGAGCUAACCGGUACUAAUGAACCGUGAGGCUUAACCUU